ensembl:lncRNA
CUCUAAGGAGGCUGUGAUGCAUGCGAAGGAAAGCAACUGACUUAACUCAUUGGGAUUCAGGGAACGACCUGCCCUCUUUUGGAAAGAAAAAAAAAUAGAAGAAGGAGAAGGAGAAGAGUAAGUGUGCGUGUGUGUGUGUGUGUGCGUGUGCGUGCGUGUGCGUGCAUGUUCGUGUGAGAGAGAGGGAGAGGGGAGGGGGAGAUACACACAGUGCUGCUUUCCUGAGCUGCCGCUUCCCAAGCAGAAACUAUCGGGAGAAACGCAGCGUCUUGGCUCUUUCCUGCAUUUACACAAUGAAAUCACUGCUGUUUUUAUUCCUGCUAACGGGCCGCUUUUGUUUGCAUCCACUCCGAGACAUGGACGAUGGGAACAAAUAAGUGCUUAAGAUCAAAUAGACAAAAAAAAAAAAAAAAAAGAGAGAGAAAAAAAAGCCCAACCACGCUGGGAUGCUGGGAUGAGGAUUACUCACUUUAGCUCUGACUGUAAGUACAAAUCUCCUGCUGCAUUUCUGUGAGCUACUGAGAGGCUGUUACGGUUUGGGUUUGGGUUGUUCAGGUUUGGCUUGCUUCUUUGUUGUUCUCUCUCUCUCUCUUUUUAAUAUCAUCGCCUCUUUAUCAGCCCCCUGCUGAGUUACUCAAAUAAGGCAAAAUCCAGGAGAGGGAGAGCAGCCCCGCAUAAAGCAGAGCAGAGCGGAGUCAGGAGCAGGAGGCAGGGAGGUAGGGAGGCAGAAGACAAGGGCGGGAGGCAGGGAGGUAAGGAGGUAAGGAGGUAGGAGACAGGAGAUGGGGAGGUAGGGAGAUAGAAGCAGGGAGGCAAAAGGCAGAAGGCAGGAGGCAGACGAGCUGCGGGAGUCCUGCGAUCACAGGCAGCGUGCUGGAAUGUUGGGUCUCGGUGGUGCUGGGGGCACAGGGGUAUUUUCAACAUCAAUUUGUGGGCUUAGCUGGGCUGGAAAAGCAUUUUUCUGACACGAGCCUGUGUGCGCCUGCAUGUGUGCAUACAAAUCCUUAGGCAGCGUGGUCUUGCUUGAGUUUCUUUGGUGCAACGUGAGCAUGCCCAGCUUGAAGGAAUGCGGUGGACAAAACAUCUUUCCAGCUGGUUUUAUUUUGUUUUGUUGGUUUUUUUUGGUUCUGAGAUUUUGUUUUUUCCCUCAAGCGUACAAGUGACAGCAGGACUCUUCCCCGGCAGGACUUGAUUUAAAUAACCAAGAUAAAAACUGCCUUACGCUCUCCUCAGCCAGCUGCUUUUCUCCCCCUCCCCUCCUUUCUUCCUUUCUUUACAUAUGUGAGCAUUCCUGGGAAAGCAGAUCGGGCAGAGGGAAAGGCUUUUGAAACGGUGGGGGAAAAUGUAAGAGAAUUCAGAGGGUCCGGGCUUUCUUUGUGUGGUGCUGAAGCCGCGGAGCUGCUUUGUGCUUUGGAAGGAGAAAAUGGCGAGUCCUAUUGUGUUUAGGCCAUUUUCUUCCGGUACAAGGGUUUUUCCCCAAAUCCUAAAUACUUCAGGGCUCUUUUGAAAGAAGUCUCCCAGCCCACGAAGAGUGAAUGGCUGCAGCUCUGCCUUUUCCCCAGCCAGUAAUGCCUCCUGUUUGAGAGAGCCCACAGAUUUCUCCUCACAAGGCGGCUGCACAAUUCCUACAGCCACUGCCUGCAGAGCCUCUCUCAUAGGAGCAGCAAUUAAAGCUGCUCUUACCACGUUCUUCAGUUCACGGGGACAGGUUACGGGAAGAAAGGACACUGAAGAAAUAAUGACCUAAGCACUGUCCUUGCUAUAAAAUGCUAAGGAGAAACGUUACCCAGCUAGGGGAGGGGGAAAUUCAUCAGAGAAAAGACUUGUGAACCAUGGAGUGAGGAUCUGACUUACAUAUGAAAUUAUUCGAACUUUAUAUAUAUGUAUAUAUGUGUUUGAGAGAGAGUGCAUGUAUGUGCAUACGCAUGCAGCCACACAGAUGGAGAGUACUUUAGGUUAGGAAAGAGGUUGUGGAGAUUUAUUGUGAGGUUUUAGAGCACAUUUAACCAUUGUCGGCAAGUUAUUCCUGCUGUAAUAUGCAAAGAAAAGAGAGUACACAACAUUUCAAGUCACCCUGGAGGCUAUACCCCUUACCGAAAGUCGCCUCUGAAUUUGUACGUUAAUCCGUUUAAGGAAACAAUUGAGAGUCUGAGGUUUUAAGACCGUUGUCAGAUAUUAACCACUUUUCUUUAUAACAUAGGCUUGCCUAGGUGUCAGUGAUUAAAAGCACUUUGUAACCGGGGAGCUAUCAAAUAAACCCCAGGAAAGGCAGAUUCCAGCCCCCUCCCCUUCCGAGGUGCUGAAUAAAGGCAUAUAUCUAUGAUUACUGCUAAUAAUAAUAGAGCUGAAGCAGUCCCUUCGCCCUUGGCGGCAGCUGCCGGCCCUAGCAGCGCCCGGCGCCCGCCCGCCGGUCAGCACCAUGGACAGAGCGCGGGCGUGCGGCGGGCGCGGAGAGGAUGUCACCCCGCGGGGACGCGGGGUCACCCGGGCUGUCCGCACUCACAGGGCGGCGGGAUGCUCCGCCGGGCCGCCCUCCUCGCCUUCCUUUCCUUGUGACUGCCAGAGUUCCCGAACAAAAGACUGAAGAAAUGACAUUUAGAAUCUUCCGUCAUGAGAGCAAGCUCUAUUGCAGUGCCACACUAGCGCUUUCUCUUCUUACUGCCUGUAAAAGAAGUAGAAAGAUUUCUCCAUUCUGCAUAAGGCUGCUUUUUUUUCCCCUUUCCUUUCCAAGACAAAAAUAAAUCUACUGCUUGGAUCAGCUGAAUGACAGUGGUGUAAAUUAAAUUGAUUUUAUCAGUGAUCAAGUUCCACAAUUGGAAAAAUUAAAUGCCACUUUGACAGACAAGGAUAAUAUGGAGCAGAUCUAUAAGUUGGCUCCUUUGAACAACAACAACAACAGUGUCAACCCAACAGGAGGCCAGGUAGUGGUGAUCCCUUCUUCUUCAUCCCGCUCUGUUAUGUCACAUCAUUAAGUUUGCCUUUCUGCGGCACUGAAAUGAUUGAGACCAUUGUUUGAUGCAAAGAGACUGACAGUGAUGAGUCAUGGACUUCAUGCCACAGCAAAGGCAACAGACAGACAUGGCUCUCAGGCAAAUUUCUCUUUUAUUUCACUCACGCUUCCAAUCGGACUCCCCUUUCAGAUGCACUUUGCUGCCCUUCCAGCUCAUCCCAAAGCUCUGCAGCUGCCAGCACCAAACCCAGAGCUGAGCUCUGAGAACAACAACCAGCUCUGUGGCCACUUAGGAAUGGCGCAAACGUGCACAUGAGGUCUGUUGGACAGAAAACCCGACUUCUUUGCCUCCCAUUGGCCCUUCUGAGAGGAGGCCUUGAGCGACCUCAAGGCUCUGCAGAGCACCGCAGCACUCCAGAGCCGCAGAGCGGGCAUAGGACUGUGCUGCCCAGAGCCUGCCCGUGCCGCAGCGGGGACAAAGCCCAUGAAAGCUAUGGACACACAAGGGCUGGGGGUGGCAAUGGUGCAGUAAGGAGGGGUCAGUGACUGUUUUGGGAGAGUGGCCUCUGGGUGAGCCUGAGAGCGGACUCCUCUUCCUCGCUUUGACUGUAUGGAUUCAUGUGACAUUGAGGCUGGGAAGGUGGGAGGAAGGCGGAGUGGGGGGGAGGGAGAGGAGCCGGAGGGAAGGGGGAGGGUUGAACUUUCCGCCGGGUUCGGCUUUUCACACCUUUCUCUCCCCAUCGUGAGAGAGGACGUUUGGGGGAGAGAGCGGCCCGGCGGGGUCCCCUCCGAGCGGGUCCCCCUCGACCUUGCAGGGACCCGGGCGGCGCGGGGCUGGGAUUGUGCCGGAUUUCAAGGACACGGGAGAUGAUCGGGACUUUGGGAGCCAACAUCUGCCUGGCUGGUGACGUCAGCAGCCCCGUGUAAUCCUCUUGUACUGAAGGCAGAUGCCUUAUUUGUUUGGCUGGAGAGGCAUUAAUCCCUAAUUCUGGAGCAGCAAGCGAGGGGGAGAGACCGGACCGCUUCUUACCCCCCGACAGCCGCUCGCGGGGUUCUCCUCCUCUUUGCGCUCUGUGGCUCCGGUUGGGCGGAGGACGAGCCAGCCCUCGGCAGGCGCCCGCACGCAGGAGCCGCGCUGCCGAGGGCGGGCCUGAGCCUUCUGCCCGCCUCGCCCCCGGAUGCCCCGGCAAGCGGCGGAACAGCCCCCGGGAAGCCCACCUCGCCGCCGGAGCCCAGCGCAGCGUAGCCCUCUCCCUCCCGGGCCCAGGACCCCGGCAGCAGUCGAGGUCAGCCCGCACGGUUCGGGGGGUCCGGCCGGGUCGGUGCUCCCGGCGUGCCGGCGGCACAGGGGCACAACGGUCCCGUCCUGAGCGCUGAGAGGCGGCCGCAACCGUAACAAUAAGAAUACAAAGCGUAGGCUGUUUUUUAUUUUUUUUUUAAUUAUUAUUAUUAUUCUAAUGAGUUCAUCCCUCAUUUCCUCGCUCGCACAGCUCGGUGUAGGCAGGCCAGAUGGGCUGCCCCGACCCUCCCGGGAAAAGGGCAGGUGCGAGCGAGUUACAUUUUUUUUUUUCCUCUUUACAAAGCGAGAUGCCACGUCCCGGCCUUUCGCUUCCCCCCGCCGCCCCCGGCCAGGAGGAGCGGUGCGCCCCGGGCUGCGGUUCCCCCGGGCCGAGCGGGCCCUGCGGCCGCUGUGCGCUCACAACCGUCGGGGCGCUGACGCCCGGCGAGGACGAAAUUACCGCCUGGGAGUGCGCGAUCGGCACACGCUUCAUUUCUGUGAUUUUUCUUUUUAGUCUAUUACGUGCUUAUCGAACAGCUUCCUGGGCAUUGCAAACAGCAGAUGGGCGAGUAGGAAAAUUGGAGAGCGAAUUGCACCCAGCCCAGGAUGGGACCGCGGCGGAAGGGAACCGCCUUUUUUUUUUUUUUCCUUUUUUCUUUCUUUUUCUUUUUUUCUUUUUUUUUUUCUUUCUUCUUAUAUUUUUUUUCCCCGGAGAUCCGUCGCUAUUCUAUUUCCAGAGAGAACGCGCGUGAGCGCUCCCAGGCUCUGCCUCUCCGUGUUCACAGCGGACCUUGAUUUAAUGUCAUACAAUUAAGGCACGCGGUGAAUGCCAAGAGCGGAUCCUCCAGGCGGCAUUAAGGAACUCGCUAAGCAUAACGCUACCAAUAAAACCAAUAGCAGCCUGUCUCGAAUCCGAAAGGAGAGGGGAAAAAAAAAGAGCAGUGACAGACUCGGUGCCUGUACUCACCUCUACGGAACGCGCGGCCGAAGGGGCGGCAGACACGGGCGCUGCCGGCAGAUAAGGCGGCUCUGCGGAGCGCCGGAGCGGAGCGGUGGCGGCGGUGAUUUGCGAGGCAGUGCGUCCCGACUUCUCGCUUUCCUGGGCUAAGCCAUGUAACGUCGCUUAAUGGGAAAUAAAUACAUUUUUUCUGCUAUUAAUCACCGCGAGGAUCGUUCUUUGCGCAUCGCCCCGGCGGCAGCGAGAGGUGCCCGCGGGGGGUCCGCGGCUCUCAGCGCGGAGGACGAGGAAUGCGGGACCGGGGGCCGCGGAGCUGCGUGCGGGACAGCGCUGCGGGCGGCGUUUGCGUUCCGAGGGGCGGCGGGAG